GACGAACGCUGGCGGCGUGCUUAACACAUGCAAGUCGAGCGGUAAGGCCCUUUCGGGGGUACACGAGCGGCGAACGGGUGAGUAACACGUGGGUGACCUGCCCUCAGCUCUGGGAUAAGCCUGGGAAACCGGGUCUAAUACUGGAUAUGACUCCAUGACGCAUGUUGUGGGGUGGAAAGCCUUGUGCGGCUGAGGAUGGGCCCGCGGCCUAUCAGCUUGUUGGUGGGGNGAUGGCCUACCAAGGCGACGACGGGUAGCCGGCCUGAGAGGGCGACCGGCCACACUGGGACUGAGACACGGCCCAGACUCCUACGGGAGGCAGCAGUGGGGAAUAUUGGACAAUGGGGGAAACCCUGAUCCAGCGACGCCGCGUGGGUGAAGAAGGCCUGCGGGUUGUAAAGCCCUUUCAGUGGGGAAGAAAAGCCUCGACCUAACACGUCGGGGUCUUGACGUAACCCAUAGAAGAAGCACCGGCUAACUCUGUGCCAGCAGCCGCGGUAAG
rnacentral:rRNA from 1 species